GAAGAAGAAGGAGAAGAAGAAGAAGCCUUAUGGUACCAACCUAAAUUGGUAGAAUUAAGGAAGUUUUUAGUUCCCCUGCUAAUUCAGAGAUAUAUAGAAAGCCUGCAUUUUUCAACCACCUUUGGCAAUUUGCUUUCGGUAGUUCAACAACUCCCCAGUGGACACCUUUACUGCUCGCUGCUGGAUGUUGGACGGAGCGUGACGAUGUGGUGCUAACAUCCAAGCAAGUGGUUUUCCUGGAUCUGACUGUACUCCGGGAAGACAGGAUUGAAGAGACUCCAGAGUGAAAGAGGGCUAAGCACAGUCAAGGUCGGGCGCCGAGGCAUCAUUGGCUAUUCUCUUCUGUAAACCCUCAAACUCCAUGGAAUAAAAGGACUGCAAUUGAAGAGAGCCAUCGGGAACAUCCGAGAGGCCUCAGAAAGUUCCUCACGGUGGCUGUAGAUCCGUAGGUUGGUUCCAUGGAGCAACUCACUACUCAGACACAAGUCAGGCACUGAUCAACACCGGCUGGGUCGCCUGGUCGAGGGUACAUGAAGAUUAAAGACCCGAAACACCCUAUGACCCCGGGUUCUUCACUGAUGAUGUGUCCAAGUAGCACCAGAAGGUGCAUCCAAAGUCUGCUUAGUUAAGUUCCAGCUCUUGCAUUGGGCCUUUUUGUUAUUUUGUCCAAUGUGAACUGAUGUGGGUGCAUUUUUUACUAGAGUUGAAACUAAUCAACACAUCUUUGACACAGAUUGAACAGAAACUGGACGUUGUUUGUGUUGGGAGGGGUUAUAUUUUGCACGUAUCUGUAUUCUUAUGUCCACCACUGUGGUCUAUCACAUGGUCAGUCGUAUCUGUCAUUGAUUUAAUACAAACCCAGUAAAUACAUGCAAUAUAUACUUCAGUUAAUAUUACUGGAACUGUCAAAUGGAAGUGAGCAUUAACUGUGUACACAGAUGGCUGCAUUGUUAGAUUCCACCUCCUAACACAGCUUCUGCGUGUAUAUUGAAUCAAAAUCAGAUUACUUUAAUGUCAUUCAGGUAAAUUACAUUAGAGAUGUACUUUAGAACUAAAUGCCAAUGCAGGGUCAGGAAUAAAAACACGAACAAUUAAAAACACCUGAGAUCAAAUAAACAAGUUAUACGGUAUCAUUAGUCACUGUAAACUCAUUUCCACAUGACAAACCGGAGUGUUUCAGACACCGGUGGAUCGCAUGUGAUCUGUCAGGAUAAGGGCUUUGCUGUUGUUUUUGUGAUGUUGCAAUCUGCCUGCAGACUGUGACAGAAUGAACGCAGAAUGACAAGAAGAAGACAAAAAACCUUUAAUCACUUUGUGGCUGGCCUUGUAGCUGAUCUGCAUGUCAGUAACAAAAUGCUGAGUUGUGUGGAAAUGAUUUUGGUGUAAUAAAGUCCGACGUGUUAUCUGCCA